rnacentral:rRNA from 1 species
UGCAAGUCGAACGAUGAUCUCCAGCUUGCUGGGGGGAUUAGUGGCGAACGGGUGAGUAACACGUGAGUAACCUGCCCUUGACUCUGGGAUAAGCGUUGGAAACGACGUCUAAUACCGGAUAUGACGACCGAUGGCAUCAUCUGGUUGUGGAAAGAAUUUUGGUCAAGGAUGGACUCGCGGCCUAUCAGGUAGUUGGUGAGGUAAUGGCUCACCAAGCCUACGACGGGUAGCCGGCCUGAGAGGGUGACCGGCCACACUGGGACUGAGACACGGCCCAGACUCCUACGGGAGGCAGCAGUGGGGAAUAUUGCACAAUGGGCGAAAGCCUGAUGCAGCAACGCCGCGUGAGGGACGACGGCCUUCGGGUUGUAAACCUCUUUUAGUAGGGAAGAAGCGAAGUGUUUUACAUGGAGUGACGGUACCUGCAGAAAAAGCACCGGCUAACUACGUGCCAGCAGCCGCGGUAAUACGUAGGGUGCAAGCGUUGUCCGGAAUUAUUGGGCGUAAAGAGCUCGUAGGCGGUUUGUCGCGUCUGCUGUGAAAACUGGAGGCUCAACCUCCAGCCUGCAGUGGGUACGGGCAGACUAGAGUGCGGUAGGGGAGAUUGGAAUUCCUGGUGUAGCGGUGGAAUGCGCAGAUAUCAGGAGGAACACCGAUGGCGAAGGCAGAUCUCUGGGCCGUAACUGACGCUGAGGAGCGAAAGCAUGGGGAGCGAACAGGAUUAGAUACCCUGGUAGUCCAUGCCGUAAACGUUGGGAACUAGAUGUAGGGGCCAUUCCACGGUUUCUGUGUCGCAGCUAACGCAUUAAGUUCCCCGCCUGGGGAGUACGGCCGCAAGGCUAAAACUCAAAGGAAUUGACGGGGGCCCGCACAAGCGGCGGAGCAUGCGGAUUAAUUCGAUGCAACGCGAAGAACCUUACCAAGACUUGACAUAUACGAGAACGGGCCAGAAAUGGUCAACUCUUUGGACACUCGUAAACAGGUGGUGCAUGGUUGUCGUCAGCUCGUGUCGUGAGAUGUUGGGUUAAGUCCCGCAACGAGCGCAACCCUCGUUCUAUGUUGCCAGCACGUUAUGGUGGGAACUCAUAGGAGACUGCCGGGGUCAACUCGGAGGAAGGUGGGGAUGACGUCAAAUCAUCAUGCCCCUUAUGUCUUGGGCUUCACGCAUGCUACAAUGGCCGGUACAAAGGGCUGCAAUACCGUAAGGUGGAGCGAAUCCCAAAAAGCCGGUCUCAGUUCGGAUUGAGGUCUGCAACUCGACCUCAUGAAGUCGGAGUCGCUAGUAAUCGCAGAUCAGCAACGCUGCGGUGAAUACGUUCCCGGGCCUUGUACACACCGCCCGUCAAGUCAUGAAAGUCGGUAACACCCAACGCCAGUGGCCUAACCCGUGAGGGAGGG